rnacentral:rRNA from 1 species
GAUGAACGCUGGCGGCGUGCCUAAUACAUGCAAGUCGAGCGAACGGACGAGAAGCUUGCUUUUCUGAUGUUAGCGGCGGACGGGUGAGUAACACGUGGAUAACCUACCUAUAAGACUGGGAUAACUUCGGGAAACCGGAGCUAAUACCGGAUAAUAUUUUGAACCGCAUGGUUCAAAAGUGAAAGACGGUCUUGCUGUCACUUAUAGAUGGAUCCGCGCUGCAUUAGCUAGUUGGUAAGGUAACGGCUCACCAAGGCAACGAUGCAUAGCCGACCUGAGAGGGUGAUCGGCCACACUGGAACUGAGACACGGUCCAGACUCCUACGGGAGGCAGCAGUAGGGAAUCUUCCGCAAAGGGCGAAAGCCUGACGGAGCAACGCCGCGUGAGUGAUGAAGGUCUUCGGAUCGUAAAACUCUGUUAUUAGGGAAGAACAUAUGUGUAAGUAACUGUGCACAUCUUGACGGUACCUAAUCAGAAAGCCACGGCUAACUACGUG